UGGAGGCCUCCGGCGGCGCCGGCAGCCUGCUGCUCCGUUGACGUCGCUUUCUUUACGCAGGGCUUGGACGGCGCCAAGGGAGAGAAAGGCGACAGCGGCGAGAAAGGGGAGCGCGGCGACGCCGGGCCGGCUGUGAGUAGCUUUCCCAUCUCCGAUUUCUGACUUAGGACAGAAACCUGCCUUUCAGCAACUUCCCAAAUGCCUUUUUUUUUUUUCUCCCCCUCUCCUUUAAGGGUCUCCCUGGUGCUCCAGGACUUAUCGGUUUACCCGGCACCAAAGGAGAGAAGGGAAAGCCGGGGGAACCGGGAUUAGAUGGCUUCCCAGGUCUAAGAGGAGAGAAAGGAGAAAGAAGUGAAAGAGGGGAGAAGGUGAGCGGGUUGUGGCUGUACCGGUGCUGGAGGGGGCAGCAGGAGAGGGGCAGACUGGCUGCUCCUUUGGUUGUGCCAGUGUUUGUGUGGCCCUAGUACAGGGCAGGACUCCGGCUCCCGUGGCCUUGGGAGUGGGUUUGCAAGCCUCCU
rnacentral:lncRNA from 1 species